rnacentral:lncRNA from 1 species
CUCUUCCAAGGGCAUUCCUAACAAGGCCGACCGCGUCCUGGGCACUCACCAGGGCCUGCGGGGCUGUUCUCAGAACCGACAGUGUCUUGUUCAGAGUCACAGUGCUAUGAGAAGCUGGUCCCGUUUGAUCAGGAGACCGUCACUCGCUGUCUUCCCACGUCAGCUUGCAGAUGGAGGUCACACUGGAAUGUCCCGUCCAUGGGCUGACCAGAGACAGCUCGGCCCUCACAGGUGUCGCCUGGAAACCCUGCACACCUGGGCCUGCCCUCCUGGAGCCUGGAGCCCACCCCACUUUGUCAGGUGAGGCCUGUUUCCUGGAGGAGUGUGUCGGGGCCAGGGAAGCAGGCGGAGCAGAGCUGCUUCUCUUCAGUUACCUCCGAGACCUGUUUGGGCUGAACCAGCUCCUCCGUCUGGAGGUUCGAAUAGCUGCUGACCAGCGCAGGGCUGAGGAGCUUGCCGCAGGUGGCUCUUCUGACCGGGAAGGCUGUGUGGGUUCCUGCCUGCUGGGCCAUCCCAGGAGCUCUGCUUCCUCUUCCCUCAGCCCUGGUUUCCCACUGGCCGUGUUCCUCAAAUGCAGAGUGGUGUGUUCAAAGGUAGGCAGAGAGAGAUUUCAGCCUGAUGAAGACGAGCACGCGUGUCCCCUCCAGGGCACCUCAGAACUCAGUAUCCUGCAGCUGUCCAACAGAAAACCUACACUAGUCCAUAUUUUCUCAUCCUCCGCUUAUUGGCAUCCACCCUCAGCCUGGCCUAACAUCAUGACCCUCAUGACCCCUAACAUCAUGACCCCUCUUCCAUGGGGGCCAAGUUUCUGAAAAGCUGCGGUAUGGUUUUGUCUCCGCCGUCUUGGGUGAGCAGUCUGGGCCAAACGGCAAUGUGUCUUGGCAGCAAAGAGGGCAGAGUCCAACCAGCAGCUUUGUCUCAAGGCUUGGCGUGUCCACAAUCGAGGCUCUGACCCCUGGACCGUGGAUGUCCUCUUGUAAGAAAGGGUGUUAUUCACAUUGACAAAGUGGGCUCCCCAGACCAGCAGCAGCAAGCCAGAAACUUGUUAGAAACGCAGAGUGUUGGGCCUCACCCCAGAAUUUGCACCAGACCCUGGAGGUGCGGGUGGCCAUCCUGUCUAGAAUCCUCCCAGGCGAACCGCACAGGAGGUUCCUCGAGGAGGAUGGGGUUCUGCCCGCGUCUUGGCUGGUGACACUGCAGCCCUUGCUGAAAGGCCUGGGAGCACCGAGGACACCACAGACUCCCACAGCUGGGCGGUGGCCAAGCCACAGUCACCAGGAGACGAGCCUUACACCACCCUACAGAGCUCCUGCCUUCCCUUGAGAAAUACUGACAUUUUAACAUGGGCUCCUUCUCACGAAAUCCACUUAGCACAGUGAGAAGCCCUGUUGAAGACGCAGGGGACAGCGACAGGGCAGGGCGGUCUGGACGGCAGCGUUGAUGCCAUGGAACAGCCCACGGGUUGAAGGUUUUAAAAGCCGGAGUCUUCGCGGCUCAGGUUUUCCCGCUAUCCACGACUGUAGCCGAAGCUCCUUUGGAACGGUCUUGUCCAGGGACUCGCCUUCCCUUCACAGACUUGCUUCUCGAGCACAGUUUAAAAUCCCCGAUGCCACCGGAAAUUAUGGACUUGAUGCGCUGGUAGUUUCCGUCCACCUUUCAGGCUGACCCCCAAGGACCCACCUGGAGACUCGUGGCCUUCACUGUUUCCCCGGGGCUUUGGGCCUCGUGGUCUUCUUCCCUCAUUGGCUAGCUCCCACGGAGCCCUGGUUAUAUUAGUUUUCUUCAACCUGGACUUGGGUCCUGGCGUCUGUGUGCUAUCUGACAGCAUAACCUUGCUUGCAGAAACACAACCUGAGCCGCUGUCCGCAGGGACAGGGGAGGUAAGGACAGUCUGCUCCCUGGCGGGGGAGACUUGCAACAUGGACUCUAUCUGUGCAGGAGAUCGGAGCUCCUGAGCCAUCAAGCCCAGGGGCAGACGCCAGCAGGUCAGUGUGGGCCACAGGGUCAGUGUUGCUCACUGGCCCUGAGCACAGAGGUAACUCCAGCUCUGGUCAGUCCCCUCUGUGCCUGUGUCUCCAGUCCCUGGCCACUCCAUGCCAUCGAGCAAGGUGAGAAAAUGGGGCCUCUCUUGGCAGACCCCCGGGGACCACCCAGGUAGCUGGCCCUUCCUUCCGCCCAGCAGCCCUCCAGGUGUGGAAGAGUAGAUGAGCCACUCCAGUGUCACACCUGUCCUGGUGGCAUCGCUUCUCAACACAGCUGCACAGCAGGAUUUGGUGCCACUUGACCGGCCCCCGCUAACUGGUGCUCCAUCUGCAGCAGGGGCUCUCAAAGCACCAUCCGCUGGAACAUGAGAGAAAGGAAAGGUCCCGACCCCCCUGCAGAUGGCACCUUGGAGAGCAGCGAGCUAGUGGAUUCAGCUCUCUGUUCUGCGGCUGACUGGAUGCACCCUGGAAGGGCUGGUGAAACUGGGGUUUCACGAUGAAACUUGAUUCUUUGCUUCACUGGCAAGUGAGUCGGGUGCUUCUCAGGUGAGACUGGAGCUUCUCAGGUGAGGUUGGAGCUUCUCAGGUGAGACUGGAGCUUUUCAGGUGAGACUGGAGCUUCUCAGGUGAGGUUGGAGCUUCUCAGGUGAGACUGGAGCUUUUCAGGUGAGACUGGAGCUUCUCAGGUGAGUUUGGAGCUUCUCAGGUGAGACUGGAGCUUUUCAGGUGAGAUUGGAGCUUCUCAGGUGAGACUGGAGCUUCUCAGGUGAGGCUGGAGCUUUUCAGGUGAGGUUGAAGCUUCUCAGGUGAGGUUGAAGCUUCUCAGGUGAGAUUGGAGCUUCUCAGGUGAGACUGGAGCUUCUCAGGUGAGACUGGAGCUUCUCAGGUGAGGUUGGAGCUUCUCAGGUGAGAUUGGAGCUUUUCAGGUGAGGCUAAAGCUUUUCAGGUGAGAUUGGAGCUUCUCAGGUGAGGUUGGAACUUCUCAGGUGAGACUGGAGCUUCUCAGGUGAGAUUGGAGCUUCUCAGGUGAGACUGGAGCUUCACAGGUGAGGUUGGAGCUUCUCCACUUCUGCAGGUUGGAGGGGCGCUGUGUUAACUAAGGCACCAGAUGGCCUCAAGUGUCUUUCCUAGCCAAAAAGGAAUCAAACUAGAAGCCAAUGAUAAGAAAAUGAUACAAUUCACAAAUACAUGCUAAACAAUACACUGUUGAGUAACCACUGGAUCAAAGAGGAAAUCAAAGCCAAUUUUAAAAUGUUUCAUAACCAAUGAAAACAAAAAUACAACAUAUCAAAGCUCAUGAGAAUUAGCAAAAUUCAUUCUACAUGGCUACAUUAAAAAAGGGAGAAAUAGCUCAAAUAAAUAACCAAACUUUGACUGCCAAGAGCUAGGAAAAGAAGAACAGACUGAGCCCAGCAUUAGCACACAGAAAGGGAAAGAUGGAUCAGAGCAGAGAUGAACCAAAUGGGGUUAGGAAAGCAAGGGAAAGUCGAGGAGACUAAGAGUGUAGAACCAAAUCAACACAGCCUCAGCUACACCCAUUAAGAAAAAAAGAAGUGAAACUCACGUAAACAAAUCAGAAAUGACAGAGGAGACAAUUCGACAAAUAUUUCAGGAAUAGACAGAAGCACAGGGGACUGUUGGGAAGCCACACAGGACAAUUGUGUAGAGGAGCCUCAUGUGGGUGGAUUCCUGGAAACUUAGAACCUAUGAGAGCCAAACAGGAAAGAACAGAAAGUUCCGGGGGUGUGGCCAGUGGUGGAGCCCUUGCCUAGCAUGUGUGAGGCCUGGGCUCCAUGUCCAG